CUCGACUCUAUAAAAAUAUUUUUGUUUUUCAUUGUUUAAAAUCCCGUAAAGCCUUAUAUUGUAAAGGCCUCUGCCACUGCCGUUAAAUACUAUUCAUAUAUAUCUUACGGCUGUCUUGCUGAAAUAAAUUCUAAGCAGCACUCCUAUUUUAAUAGGCAGAGCGGUCCUACUAGUGACCAGUGAAUGGCACCAAACAGAAAAGUGCCGACGCUAUCCAACGGGUCCAGUGGGGCAGCAGUUCGAGUCUCAGCUCCUGCAGUAGGCCGAAUAAUAGAGCCACCAGCCAGCGGGGAAAUGAGCGCAGCAGGGAUGGUGUUUGCCAGCACUUCUGGAGGGUCCAGUGAAACGGAGUCAGUGUUUGCGCCAGCAGGGUGACUGCUAAGUUGCCAAAUCUCUUGGCAUUGCGUAGCCAGCUGGGCCGCGCUGCUACUGCCGGAGAUGUAGUCUGAACUUGUGGGUACAUGGAGUGUACAUCUGGUAGACUCUGCAAAGUUUGGUAAAGUGGAUUAGUGGUGUCGGCCAUUAUUUUUUGGACCUCCACAGGUAGAUCUGAAUCAUAUGUAUCUAAAAGCUCUUAUUCCAGGCGCAGUUUUAACCUGUUGAUGCCAGUUUCGAGGUGCUCUUCUGGCGUUGGCGCUUGGAGCUCAGAUGGUAGUAGGUGGCUCAUAAUAGCCCUUGGAUGUAUUAAGGCUGGAAACGGAUUGUGCGAACCAUGUCCCAGCGGCUGAUUGCGCCGCUUCUAACUUGCCGUGACUGAUGAUUGACCCAAUCCAUUGACGACCGUCCCUGGGGUGUAAGAUGCAAGAGCAAGUUCCUGCUUUUGUCGGGCAUGGCUUUCUUGCUGCUCAUCGUGCAACUGAUCCUGCUGCCGUCUGUAUCGCUCUUGUUGUUGCUGGUCAAGGCGGAUUAAUGUGGCACUACCUGCUGGUGAUGUUCCGGUUGCUGGAGCAGUAAUUGUGGCAAGGGUGUGAAAUGCGUCUCAAGUUGUUUGGUGUACACAGGAAGAUCCUGAUUAUUUGGAGUAACUAAAUCUUUUAGAAGCUUUCUGGCUUCUGCAUUGGGUUGUGUAUAAAGGGAAUUGGCGAGCCUGCCACUAUCAUCGUCAAGUACCUCCUUUGUACUUAUACACUCAUAGGAUUCCCAAACCCCUUAGACUAAGAUGGGAUGCAUACAAACUAACAAAGAGACAUUUUCAUUUUGAAGAAAAAAAAAUCUUGUUUUUCGUAUUACUUCUGAACGGGAAAAUGAUUUUAAGCAAACAAAACAUUUAUCGCCACCUUAUCCAGCAGCUCUAAAUUUUCCCUUUCAAUUCUGCGGAUAUAUAAUAGUUCUCUUCGGACGCUCUCUUGCGCGCUUCGACGGGUAAAAAUUUUAAAAAAUGAUAUCUUUGAUGUUCUUUAACAUAUAACCUCCUGAGCUUGGAAAUAGCAUUUUUUUUUAUUCUGAAUGUCGAAUAAAAUUGUAUCAAAAUCGGACGACUAUAGCUGCCAAGCGAACAAUGGGAAAGUUAGUGGCAAAAUAAUAUAAAAUAUUUAACCUUUGGUGGCUUUUAACAUACAACAUCCUACGCUUGAAUAUAACAUUUUUUAAUAAGUUUUAAAUUUCGAAUUAAAUUUUAUCAAAAUCAAACGUUUAUAUAAUCGAGGACGACUGUAUAAUCGAUACAUUUGAUUUCAUAAGCCACUUCUUCGUUUUCUUUUUUUUUUAACUUAUAUGUUGUAUUGCUUUAUUAAAAUCGUCAAAAAUAUUUGUCAAUUGCAUUCUACGGUACAAGCUCUACAUUUGAAACAUGUACAGCUCAUCAGACGACAAAGUAGUUUUUAGUGGUUCUCUGUUAUAAAGAUUCUGAGAAUAAAAGACAUUGGCGCGGCUAAGACCGCUAGAAUGCUUAUUCUAGCAUUCAUGAUGUGACGCUCUGCGUCGCACCGAGACAUACCAACUGCUUAAGGCGGUAAAAACGACGUGCCGCGCCGCACCGCCCCCGUGUGCGCGUACCUUAACUCGGACGCUACGAUUGGCUUAUUCGUUCGUUAGUUCAUCUAAACAUGAUAACUGAUAAGAGCAGCCAAGUAAACAUGAACUUUGUACAAAACAAAGCAGCGUGCCGUACAAACGAGACAUUCUCCGCCGUAAUAAAAUUUGAAGUCAAAACAAA